rnacentral:rRNA from 1 species
CCCUUAGAUGCUCUGGGCCGCACGCGCGCUACACUGAUGCAUUCAACAAGCCUAGCCUUGACCGAGAGGUCCGGGUAAUCUUUGAAACUGCAUCGUGAUGGGGCUAGAUUAUUGCAAUUAUUAAUCUUCAACGAGGAAUGCCUAGUAAGCGUGAUUCAUCAAAUCGCGUUGAUUACGUCCCUGCCCUUUGUACACACCGCCCGUCGCUCCUACCGAUUGAAUGUGUUGGUGAGGAGCUCGGAUUGGCAGCAGUUGGUGGUUCGCCACCGGCUAUUGCUGAGAAGUCCUCCAAACCGCCCCAUUUAGAGGAAGGAGAAGUCGUAACA